AUGUCUCCACCCACGUCUCGCGUCCUGUUGACCAAUAGCUCGCGGUCAUGUCAAGAGACUGCGCACACUGUCGCCGGCACUUGCCAGCCAUCGGUGACACCUGCGGCCCCUGCGCUUGUCUCCCCCGACCGCACGCGCUCCCCGGCCAUUCGCGCUCGUCCAAGAAGAGUGCCGCCGUCGCCACCAGCCCUGGCUUUGUUCGAUGCAACACGGACCAAAGAGUCGUCGCCGUCCCCAACAUCAUGUGGCCAUUGUAGUGUCGCCGGGCAUGGUCAUGUCAACCUCGGUGGCUGGUUGCAGCAUCUUGAGCUGCCCGUGGUAGCAACUCUGGGUGGCGCUCUAUGGCCGCCCGACACUCAUGCUGGUUCCAGUAAAAUCAUACGCCCGUCGUAG
rnacentral:rRNA from 1 species